UGCGUAGGUGGCGGGGUAAGUUUGAUGUGAAAGCUCAGGGCUUAACCCUGAAAUGGCAUUGAAUACUACUCUGCUGGAGGUUUGGAGGGGGGACUGGAAUUCUUGGUGUAGCAGUGAAAUGCGUAGAUAUCAAGAGGAACACCAGUGGCGAAAGCGAGUCCCUGGACAACACCUGACACUGAGGCACGAAAGCUGGGAGCAAACA
rnacentral:rRNA from 1 species